rnacentral:misc_RNA from 1 species
AUCUCUCAACCCCCCUGUUUUGUAAUGAGACGGGCGUUUGGGCUUGGAUUAUGGCUGUCUGCUGGUCUCUUUACUGAGAUCGGCUCGGCUGAAAUACACGAGCAACCCAGUUUGAAUGGCAACGGUUUGACUCGGCGUAAUAGUUUUAUUUCGCUGAGGACGUUGUGUAUCAAGAUAGUCGGUGCUUCUAAUGCGGUAGAGUUAGCAGCUCUACCAUUCUUUAAGC